UGGGGCAUGAACCUGGCAUACAAUGUAGAUUUCUGUGUUUAUUAGGCAACAGCUACAUUGUCUGCUGGGUUUCAGGCUACCUGG
rnacentral:pre_miRNA from 1 species